CAGCAGCCGCGGUAAUACAGAGGGUGCGAGCGUUAAUCGGAUUUACUGGGCGUAAAGCGUGCGUAGGCGGCUUCUUAAGUCGGAUGUGAAAUCCCUGAGCUUAACUUAGGAAUUGCAUUCGAUACUGGGAAGCUAGAGUAUGGGAGAGGAUGGUAGAAUUCCAGGUGUAGCGGUGAAAUGCGUAGAGAUCUGGAGGAAUACCGAUGGCGAAGGCAGCCAUCUGGCCUAAUACUGACGCUGAGGUACGAAAGCAUGGGGAGCAAACAGGAUUAGAUACCCGUGUAGUCCCUGUCUCUUAUAC
rnacentral:rRNA from 1 species